rnacentral:rRNA from 1 species
GACGAACGCUGGCGGCGUGCUUAACACAUGCAAGUCGAACGGACGAGUGAGAUAAGUUUACUUAACUCACAAGUUAGUGGCGGACGGGUGAGUAACACGUGGAUAAUCUACCUGCAACACCGGGAUAACGCUGUGAAAACGGUGCUAAUACCGGAUACGUUCCCUUGUGCGCAUGUAUGAGGGAAGAAAGCUCAGGCGGUUGCAGAUGAGUCCGCGGCUGAUUAGCUAGUUGGUGAGGUAAAGGCUCACCAAGGCGAUGAUCAGUAGCCGGCCUGAGAGGGUGAACGGCCACACUGGGACUGAGACACGGCCCAGACUCCUACGGGAGGCAGCAGUGGGGAAUCUUGGGCAAUGGGCGAAAGCCUGACCCAGCGACGCCGCGUUGGGGAUGAAGCCCUUCGGGGCGUAAACCCAUGUUGUAGGGGACGAAGAAAGUGACGGUACCCUACGAGAAAGCCCCGGCCAACUACGUG